GACGAACGCUGGCGGCGUGCUUAACACAUGCAAGUCGAGCGGAGCGGCGAACGGGUGAGUAACGCGUGAGUAAUUGCCCUCCUCCCUGGGAUAACAGUUGGAAACGGCUGCUAAUACCGGAUAGUGGGGGAUGACUCGCGGCCUAUCAGCUUGUUGGUGGAGUAGUGGCCUACCAAGGCGACGACGGGUAGCCGGCCUGAGAGGGGGACCGGCCACAUGAGUCUGAGGGACGGCCCAGACGGCUACGUUGGGCAACAGGGGGGAAUAUUGCGCAACGGGGGAAACCGUGUUGCAGCGGCGCCGGUGCGGGAUGACGUCCUACGGGUUAUAAACCGCUUUCGGCCAUUACGCGGUAGUGGCAGAAGAAGCACCGGCUAACUACGUGCCAGCCGCCGCGGUAAUAC
rnacentral:rRNA from 1 species